rnacentral:rRNA from 1 species
GGAGCUUGCUCCGCUGACGAGUGGCGAACGGGUGAGUAAUAUAUCGGAACGUACCAUUCAGUGGGGGAUAACGUAGCGAAAGUUACGCUAAUACCGCAUAUUCUGUGAGCAGGAAAGCAGGGGAUCGCAAGACCUUGCGCUGAUUGAGCGGCCGAUAUCAGAUUAGCUUGUUGGUGAGGUAAAAGCUCACCAAGGCGACGAUCUGUAGCGGGUCUGAGAGGAUGAUCCGCCACACUGGAACUGAGACACGGUCCAGACUCCUACGGGAGGCAGCAGUGGGGAAUUUUGGACAAUGGGGGCAACCCUGAUCCAGCCAUGCCGCGUGAGUGAAGAAGGCCUUCGGGUUGUAAAGCUCUUUCAGCCGGGAAGAAAACGCAUGGGUUAAUACCCUGUGUGGAUGACGGUACCGGAAUAAGAAGCACCGGCUAACUACGUGCCAGCAGCCGCGGUAAUACGUAGGGUGCGAGCGUUAAUCGGAAUUACUGGGCGUAAAGCGUGCGCAGGCGGUUUUGUAAGACAGGCGUGAAAUCCCCGGGCUUAACCUGGGAACUGCGUUUGUGACUGCAAGGCUAGAGUACGGCAGAGGGGGGUGGAAUUCCACGUGUAGCAGUGAAAUGCGUAGAGAUGUGGAGGAACACCAAUGGCGAAGGCAGCCCCCUGGGUCGAUACUGACGCUCAUGCACGAAAGCGUGGGUAGCAAACAGGAUUAGAUACCCUGGUAGUCCACGCCCUAAACGAUGUCAACUAGGUGUUGGGAGGGUAAAACCUUUUAGUACCGGAGCUAACGCGUGAAGUUGACCGCCUGGGAGUAUGGCCGCAAGGUUAAAACUCAAAGGAAUUGACGGGGACCCGCACAAGCGGUGGAUGAUGUGGAUUAAUUCGAUGCAACGCGAAAAACCUUACCUACCCUUGACAUGCCAAGAACUUUCCAGAGAUGGAUUGGUGCCCGAAAGGGAACUUGGACACAGGUGCUGCAUGGCUGUCGUCAGCUCGUGUCGUGAGAUGUUGGGUUAAGUCCCGCAACGAGCGCAACCCUUGUCGUUAAUUGCCAUCAUUUAGUUGGGCACUUUAACGAUACUGCCGGUGACAAACCGGAGGAAGGUGGGGAUGACGUCAAGUCCUCAUGGCCCUUAUGGGUAGGGCUUCACACGUCAUACAAUGGUCGGUACAAAGGGUCGCCAAGCCGCGAGGUGGAGCCAAUCCCAGAAAGCCGAUCGUAGUCCGGAUCGCAGUCUGCAACUCGACUGCGUGAAGUCGGAAUCGCUAGUAAUCGUGGAUCAGAAUGUCACGGUGAAUACGUUCCCGGGUCUUGUACACACCGCCCGUCACACCAUGGGAGCGGGUUCCGCCAGAAGUAGGUAGCCUAACCGCAAGGAGGGCGCUUACCACGGCGGGGUUCGUGACUGGGGUGAAGUCGUAACAAGGUA